AUUCAUACUGUUUUGGUAUAAACCGUACAGAGCCAUAAGUAAAAUGAAAAAUAAGCCAAUAUACAGACAAACGGAGCUAUUCUUCAGUUUCUCCAUCAGAAAAGAGCAUCUCCCCUCUUUCGAUCGGUACUGUUUUUUGCGAAAGGAAUAAAAUUGCUUGAUUCGAUAGGAAAAAGAAGACAGUAGGCUUUUCCAAAACGGUCUGCCAAUGGUUGACCCGGCGCCCCCACUUGCUUUGAACUUGGUCUACAUCGCCAUCUUGUUGGCCGUUGCUUCUACCGUUGUAAGUAAAUACAUAGCUCCCAAGUUUCCUCGAUCAGCCUAUGUGCUUGAAAGAUCAGGUGCCUUCUUUGUACUAACGGGUUUCUUCAUAGCCAUUACUAUUCCGUUUCGCCUUUCCUUCAAAAUAUUUUCUUGGCUGCUCUAUGCCGUUUGCUUAAUUGUCAUGGUACGUUUCGGUGGAUCCUACGGCCAAGGUCAAAAUGUAAGGAACUAACCAAAAAUAGGCAUUGCAUUUGCUUUGCAUGCCUUUCUCAUGUUGAUUUCGCCUUGUUUUUAUCUGCUGUUGUUUUAAUGGGAUUGUAAUAUCUUUUGUGCUCUUUAAUGUUAUUCUACAUUUGGAGUUGUAUCAGAACAAGUACUUCAAACUUGACUUGAUGAUAGCUAAUACUUAGCGGCUCUUAUGUGCACCUAUGUGUCUUUGAACAAGUACAAUAAUAUCUUUGAAUAAUUGAACUCACCCACAUGAGCUUGGAGUUGGACAUA